UACGUAGGACGCAAGCGUUAUCCGGAAUCAUUGGGUUUAAAGGGUGCGUAGGCGGCUUUUUAAGUCAGUGGUGAAAUCCUGCCGCUUAACGGUAGAAUUGCCAUUGAUACUGAAGAGCUUGAGUCCAGUUGAGGUAAGCGGAAUGUGUAGUGUAGCGGUGAAAUGCUUAGAUAUUACACAGAACACCAAUUGCGAAGGCAGCUUACUAAACUGUCACUGACGCUGAUGCACGAAAGCGUGGGGAGCAAACAGG
rnacentral:rRNA from 1 species